rnacentral:rRNA from 1 species
AUGGCCAGCUUGGCGCGCCCAGGACACGGUCCUCGACGCCUCGCUCUGCACUGCGUUCGCCACGCCCCGCACUCCCCGGCCCGGCCGUCGCUCCCCAUCGCGCUCGGACUCGAACAACGCGGCCGUCUCAGUGCGGCGACGCGGUCACCUCCUCGGCGAUCGACCCCGUGCUCCACACACCCCCCGGCCCCAGCUCGCGGCCUUGAACAUGCACCAAAGCGAUCAACUCGGCCGAUCCAGCGUGCCCAGGAGCUCAGUCUUCUCCUCGCCGAGCCACGCCGCGCCACUAGAGCCUCUGUGCCACCACGCAGGUCCGCCGCGGCCGCCGUGCUCUCGCAUGCACGGCAUCAACGUGCUCCACUCCACGGCCUCGGAUGA